rnacentral:rRNA from 1 species
AGUGAACGCUGGCGGUAGGCCUAACACAUGCAAGUCGAACGGCAGCACGGUAAGAGCUUGCUCUUACGGGUGGCGAGUGGCGGACGGGUGAGGAAUACAUCGGAAUCUACUUUUUCGUGGGGGAUAACGUAGGGAAACUUACGCUAAUACCGCAUACGACCUACGGGUGAAAGCAGGGGAUCUUCGGACCUUGCGCGAUUGAAUGAGCCGAUGUCGGAUUAGCUAGUUGGCGGGGUAAAGGCCCACCAAGGCGACGAUCCGUAGCUGGUCUGAGAGGAUGAUCAGCCACACUGGAACUGAGACACGGUCCAGACUCCUACGGGAGGCAGCAGUGGGGAAUAUUGGACAAAGGGCGCAAGCCUGAUCCAGCCAUACCGCGUGGGUGAAGAAGGCCUUCGGGUUGUAAAGCCCUUUUGUUGGGAAAGAAAAGCAGCAGGUUAAUACCCCGCUAUUCUGACGGUACCCAAAGAAUAAGCACCGGCUAACUUCGUG